GACCAGACUCCUACGGGAGGCAGCAGUGGGGGAUAUUGCACAAUGGGGGAAACCCUGAUGCAGCGACACCGCGUGGGUGAGGAAGCGCUUCGGCGUGUAAAGCCCUAUCAGUGGGGAAGAAAAAGGACGGUACCCAAAGAAGAAGCACCGGCUAAAUACGUGCCAGCAGCCGCGGUAAUACGUAGGGGGCAAGCGUUAUCCGGAUUUACUGGGUGUAAAGGGAGCGUAGACGGUCCUGCAAGCCAGAUGUGAAAGCCCGGGGCUCAACCCCGGGACUGCAUUUGGAACUGUAAGGCUAGAGUGUCGGAGAGGCAGGCGGAAUUCCUAGUGUAGCGGUGAAAUGCGUAGAUAUUAGGAGGAACACUAGUGGCGAAGGCGGCCUGCUGGACGAUGACUGACGUUGAGGCUCGAAAGCGUGGGGAGCAAACAGGAUUAGAUACCCUGGUAC
rnacentral:rRNA from 1 species